UACGAGGGGGGCGAGCGUUUUUCGGAAUUAUUGGGCGUAAAGGGUGCGUAGGCGGUUUGUUAAGUCUUAUGUGAAAUCUAUGGGCUCAACUCAUAGUCUGCAUGAGAAACUGCCGGGCUUGAGUGUGGGAGAGGUGAGUGGAAUUUCCGGUGUAGCGGUGAAAUGCGUAGAUAUCGGAAGGAACACCUGUGGCGAAGGCAGCUCGCUGGGACGGUACUGACGCUGAGACGCGAAAGCGUGGGGAGCAAACAGG
rnacentral:rRNA from 1 species